UACGUAGGGCCCGAGCAUUAUCCGGAAUUAUUGGGCGUAAAGAGCGUGUAGGUGUUUGUACAAGUCGGUCGUUAAAUCUCAGAGCUCAACUCUGAGACCGCGAGCGAAACUGUACGAAUUGAGGUUUGCAGGGGCUAGCAGAAUUCCUGGAGUAGGGGUGAAAUCCGUUGAUACCAGGAGGAAUACCAAUGGCGAAGGCAGCUAGCUGGGCAAUACCUGACACUGAGACGCGAAAGCGUGGGGAGCAAACGGG
rnacentral:rRNA from 1 species